GCAGCUACCAGUAGAUAACCGAUCUAUAACAAAUCUUGAAUUUUUUUUGUUGUAUGAAACUUCUGUUUUUACAACUUUUAGCGAUGGAUCCCUCGGCUCGGGUAACGAUGAAGGACGCAGCAAAGUGCGAUAAGCGCUGUGAAUGGCAGAAUUCCGCG
rnacentral:rRNA from 1 species